UGGGGAAUAUUGCACAAUGGGGGAAACCCUGAUGCAGCGACGCCGCGUGAACGAAGAAGGUAUUCGUAUCGUAAAGUUCUGUCCUAUGGGAAGAUAAUGACAGUACCAUAGAAGAAAGCUCCGGCUAAAUACGUGCCAGCAGCCGCGGUAAUACGUAUGGAGCGAGCGUUGUCCGGAAUUAUUGGGCGUAAAGGGUACGCAGGCGGUUUAUUAAGUCGAAUGUUAAAGAUCGGGGCUCAACCCCGUAAAGCAUUGGAAACUGAUAAACUUGAGUAGUGGAGAGGAAAGUGGAAUUCCUAGUGUAGUGGUGAAAUACGUAGAUAUUAGGAGGAAUACCAGUAGCGAAGGCGACUUUCUGGACACAAACUGACGCUGAGGUACGAAAGCGUGGGGAGCAAACAGG
rnacentral:rRNA from 1 species